AACGGGUGCGGAACACGUACGCAACCUUCCUUCAAGCGGGGGAUAGCUUUCGGAAACGAAAAUUAAUACCCCAUAGUACUACGAGAUGGCAUCUGAUUGUAGUUAAAGAUUUAUCACUUGAAGAUGGGCGUGCGGCUGAUUAGGUAGUUGGCGGGGUAACGGCCCACCAAGCCAACGAUCAGUAACUGGUGUGAGAGCACGACCAGUCACACGGGCACUGAGACACGGGCCCGACUCCUACGGGAGGCAGCAGUAAGGAAUAUUGGUCAAUGGACGCAAGUCUGAACCAGCCAUGCCGCGUGGAGGAUGAAGGCCCUCUGGGUUGUAAACUUCUUUUUUCGACGAAGAAACCCCUGAUUUAUAUUAGGGUUGACGGUACUCGAAGAAUAAGCACCGGCUAACUCCGUGCCAGCAGCCGCGGUAAUACGGAGGGUGCAAGCGUUAUCCGGAUUCACUGGGUUUAAAGGGUGCGUAGGUGGGUUGGUAAGUCAGUGGUGAAAUCUCCAAGCUUAACUUGGAAACUGCCGUUGAUACUAUCAAUCUUGAAUAUCGUUGAGGUAAGCGGAAUAUGUCAUGUAGCGGUGAAAUGCUUAGAUAUGACAUAGAACACCGAUAGCGAAGGCAGCUUACUAAGCGAUUAUUGACACUGAGGCACGAAAGCGUGGGGAUCAAACAGGAUUAGAUACCCUGGUAGUCCACGCCCUAAACGAUGGAUACUCGACAUACGCGAUACACAGUGUGUGUCUGAGCGAAAGCAUUAAGUUCCCACC
rnacentral:rRNA from 1 species